GAGGUCCUCUUUUAUCAACUUUGUUUAACAAUGAUUGGGGCCUACCCCUGUACUUUGUCGACUUCUGCCCCCUGAAUUCGACACGGGAAAGUUUCCCUGAUUUGAGGAUUGGAAGCGACCAUCUUCAUAUUGUCUAUUUUGCCUUGUCAGAGCCUGAUUUCUGUAUAGGAGAAGAGGUACCGGACCGUUGAUACUCAUCACAAGUGAUGUCAUUAUUCAGAUCGCAGGACCUGCACCCAUUCUCCUCAGAAGCUUCAAAUUGGCUGUUUUCAUUUGACAUUUUGACUUUUGUUAUUGGCUAUUGCAACACAAAUUUUAUGUGUUUAUAUGUCAAUGUGCUUGUCGUUGUCAAAAGACUUAACAAGACUUUGUCAAUAUUAUGAGAUCCUGAUGUAGACUUUCGAUCAACCAGAAUAUAAGGAAGACUUUAUCCCACUUCUGACACCAAUUGUUACGACUUACAGCUUUAUAUGUUUAGCGGCGUAACAUUGUGGGGCUCCUUAAUCUGAAUGUUGAACGAAAGACAACAGGAUAUAAUUUGUUUUUAAUAUUUUAUUAGAUUUUAUUCAAUAAACAUACAAAAAUA